UACGUAGGGGGCAAGCGUUAUCCGGAUUUACUGGGUGUAAAGGGAGCGUAGACGGCGAUGCAAGUCUGAAGUGAAAGGCGGGGGCCCAACCCCCGGACUGCUCUGGAAACUGUAUAGCUGGAGUGCAGGAGAGGUAAGUGGAAUUCCUAGUGUAGCGGUGAAAUGCGUAGAUAUUAGGAGGAACAUCAGUGGCGAAGGCGACUUUCUGGACUGUAACUGACGCUGAGGCACGAAAGUGUGGGGAGCAAACAGG
rnacentral:rRNA from 1 species